ACGUAGGGUGCGAGCGUUAAUCGGAAUUACUGGGCGUAAAGCGUGCGCAGGCGGCUUCGCAAGUCAGACGUGAAAUCCCCGGGCUUAACCUGGGAAUGGCGUUUGAAACUACGGAGCUGGAGUGUGGCAGAGGGAGGUAGAAUUCCACGUGUAGCGGUGAAAUGCGUAGAUAUGUGGAGGAAUACCGAUGGCGAAGGCAGCCUCCUGGGCCAACACUGACGCUCAUGCACGAAAGCGUGGGGAGCAAACAGGA
rnacentral:rRNA from 1 species